rnacentral:rRNA from 1 species
CCUACGGGUGGCAGCAGUGAGGAAUAUUGGUCAAUGGGCGUAAGCCUGAACCAGCCAAGUCGCGUGAGGGAUGAAGGUUCUAUGGAUCGUAAACCUCUUUUAUAGGGAAUAAAGUGUGGGACGUGUCCUAUUUUGUAUGUACCUUAUGAAUAAGGAUCGGCUAACUCCGUGCCAGCAGCCGCGGUAAUACGGGGGAUGCGAGCGUUAUCCGGAUUUAUUGGGUUUAAAGGGUGCGUAGGCGGCGCUUCAGGUCAGCGGUGAAAUACCGGGGCUCAACCCCGGGGCUGCCGUUGAAACCGGAGCGCUAGAAUUCCGAUGCCGUCGGAGGAAUGUGUGGUGUAGCGGUGAAAUGCAUAGAUAUCACACAGAACACCGAUUGCGAAGGCAUCUGACGAAUCGGAGAUUGACGCUGAUGCACGAAAGCGUGGGUAUCGAACAGGAUUAGAUACCCUUGUAGUC